rnacentral:rRNA from 1 species
CUUAUAUUCUGUAGCAAGGUUAACCGUAUAGGGGAGCCGAAGGGAAACCGAGUCUUAACUGGGCGUUAAGUUGCAGGGUGUAGACCCGAAACCCGGUGAUCUAGCCAUGGGCAGGUUGAAGGUUGGGUAACACUAACUGGAGGACCGAACCGACUAAUGUUGAAAAAUUAGCGGAUGACUUGUGGCUGGGGGUGAAAGGCCAAUCAAACCGGGAGAUAGCUGGUUCUCCCCGAAAGCUAUUUAGGUAGCGCCUCGUGAACUCAUCUUCGGGGGUAGAGCACUGUUUCGGCUAGGGGGUCAUCCCGACUUACCAACCCGAUGCAAACUGCGAAUACCGAAGAAUGUUAUCACGGGAGACACACGGCGGGUGCUAACGUCCGUCGUGAAGAGGGAAACAACCCAGACCGCCAGCUAAGGUCCCAAAGUCACAGUUAAGUGGGAAACGAUGUGGGAAGGCUCAGACAGCCAGGAUGUUGGCUUAGAAGCAGCCAUCAUUUAAAGAAAGCGUAAUAGCUCACUGGUCGAGUCGGCCUGCGCGGAAGAUGUAACGGGGCUAAACUGUGCACCGAAGCUGCGGCAGCGACGCUUAUGCGUUGUUGGGUAGGGGAGCGUUCUGUAAGCCUGCGAAGGUGUCCUGUGAGGGAUGCUGGAGGUAUCAGAAGUGCGAAUGCUGACAUAAGUAACGAUAA